rnacentral:rRNA from 1 species
GGCGCGCAAAUUACCCACUCCCGGCACGGGGAGGUAGUGACGAAAAAUAACGAUACGGGACUCAUCCGAGGCCCCGUAAUCGGAAUGAGUACACUUUAAAUCCUUUAACAAGGAUCAAUUGGAGGGCAAGUCUGGUGCCAGCAGCUGCGGUAAUUCCAGCUCCAAUAGCGUAUAUUAAAGUUGUUGCGGUUAAAAAGCUCGUAGUCGAAUUUGUGUCUCAUGCCGCUGGUUCAUCGUUCGCGGUGUAAACUGGCGUGACAUGGGACGUCCUGCCGGUGGAUUUAGCUCUUAACGGAGCGGUCCUACUGCCACGUUGCUCUUUAUUGAGUGUCGAGGUGGGCCGGCUCAUUUACUUUGAACAAAUUAAAGUGCUUAAAGCAGGCUAAAAUUUUGCCUGAAUAUGUGUGCAUGGAAUAAUGGAAUAGGACCUCGGUUCUAUUUUGUUGGUUUUAGGAACCCCGAGGUAAUGAUUAAUAGGAACGGAUGGGGGCAUUCGUAUUGCGACGUUAGAGGUGAAAUUCUUGGAUCGUCGCAAGACGAACAUAAGCGAAAGCAUUUGCCAAAAACGUUUUCAUUGAUCAAGAACGAAAGUUAGAGGUUCGAAGGCGAUCAGAUACCGCCCUAGUUCUAACCAUAAACGAUGCCAGCUAGCGAUCCGCCGACGUUCCUCCGAUGACUCGGCGGGCAGCUUC